rnacentral:lncRNA from 1 species
UUUUUUUUUUUUUUUUUUUUUGGCAAUGCCCAUGGCAUAUGGAAGUUACAGGAAUCAAACCCACACCACAGCAGUGACAACACCAGAUCCUUAACUGCUAGGCCACCAAGGAACUUCCUUUAGGCUAAUUUCUUGAUUCAGAUAUUCCUGGACCACACAUAUAACCCUAAUGAUAAAUCCUGAUAUUAUCUUUUUCCUUCACAUGCUAUCUAGAUGGAGACAGACAGGCAUCAUUAAACGGUCCAUUUGCUGGGACUCUAUCGUCUGUUCUGUAUCCUGACAUAGGAUUUUAAACUCCACCUUGUAGGUUACUGAGACUUGCAAGUUUCUCUGAUGCAGACCAGUAUCUUUUAGUGUCCUCACCAUAUUGCUUUUUAGAUCCACACAUUUUACACUUGGCUUUCUCUCUCACACUUGCUCUCUUUUUUGCAAGCUCAGUAAUGCAUUUAAAAGAAUAAUGUCUUUUUAUCUGUUAUUUCCAAGCACUUGUAGUGGGAAAGUUUUCAAGUUUUCUUGAGAAAAAAAAUUGGAACAAGGAGUCCUACUUUGGCCUUUUUGACACGGAAAAAAAAAAAAAAAAAGCCUAAGAAUUUCACAAACCAUAUUCUCCAUGCAAAGUUUUCUCACCAGUUUUUGUAUAAAUGUAGAAUAUCCAAAAAUCAGCCUGAAAUUUGUUAAACUAAUGUAACGCUGCAUGUUUUGCUAUAUUACUGCUGAGGCAUUGCAUUCCUUUGAACUUCUGCAAUAAACUCAGCCACAGCCUGAUGUGUUGAGAAGAAUGGGGUGGGGAAGGGCUAUAUCUUACUUUGAGAAAUUUUUUAGGGAGUAUGCUGUAGAGGAACAAAUAAUAUUUUCUGAAAUAGUGCAAACGUCUUUUGCUUUUCCUUAGUGAGGGACUCUAUAUAUGUAUAAUUUAAGGUUAUAAUAAAAAACCCAAAGCCCUUUCUGGCUCAAAAUUCUGUGAUUUUUCUACUACCUUGAGAAAUUUUCCCAACAGAUCUUAAAGCCUAUGUGCAGCUUGUGACUAAAUCCUUGGAAUCAAAGUUGCUUAAUCUUCCAUGAUGUUCUCCUGCUCUCUCUGGCCUUCACCACAGCAUCCUAGCAAGUCCACAGGAUGAAAGGGGCUGUAUCCAACUUUUUUUUGCUAUUAAUAUUCUUUGAUCUGAUUUGUCCACAAACAAUUUUUAUUGCAUAUCAAGGAAUACACUGCCAGAUAAAAUACUUAAUUGACUAAAGAGAAAGUUAAUUAAUGAAUGCUGUCUAAACAUAUUUCAAAAUACACACAAUUGGGAGUUUGUUUUUGUUUUUGUUUUUUUUUUCCCACUGUACAGGAGUUUUUAUAACUUCCUUUGAGUGUGCUAUAAUCUUGAAGUAUUUCACCCCAAAAUUCUCUUUGGAAGCCACAGGUAAGUAAUAAGACAUUGCUGAAAUAAAAACAAAGGAUUCAUUUUUAAAAAAUAGCAAAUAUUCUUUCAACACUCAAUACCCAAAGUUGUUUCUGAGGCCUCACCAUAUUAUUUUAUAUUAAAUAUCUCAAAGAAAUUAUUACAAAAAUAAACGCAUCUCCUUGCUGGAUUUCAUUCUGUGUUUGGAUUGAGGUGGAGUCAGCUGUUAGCUGCAUGAUCAGUGCACAGAUGCUGAGUCUUUUUAUUUUCUUCAUUAAGAAUUACCAUUUCCAACCCUCACUGGUGGUUUACAAUGGCAGUAAUCCCUACCAAAACAGUUGUGCCUCUGGAUUCUAGGUGGUUUGCCAGAACAUUAACCUCUACUUGACCCCUGAUGGUCACAAGAGAACUCUGUAAGGGUCAGUAAUCUUUUCUAGUAAACUAUCGAGUAUGGGCUCGACCCUGGAUUAUGCGACUUUCCUUUAAAAAUAAUUAUAAUAUGUGUGUCCUUUAAAACGACUAGGAUCAGCAAGACUAAUGAAAAUGUUUGAAUCCUUAUCAGUCGGAAUGAAAAGGGCUGGCUCCAGAAAGUGCCAACCUCAGAAUUUUUGUGCUGCUUUUGUUGAUCUUGUGUGCCGAUGCACAUGACUUGCUAAUGUGUGGCUUGGCGGACCCUGGAGGCUCAUUCACCCAUGAUGGUCGGGAGAGGGGCUUCUGGGCCUCUCUGUGUGUCGGGGCAUUUCUCUGGUUCUCCAACAAAGCUCUUAAUUGGCAUCUGGGACUAACGAGCAGACAGUCCCAGGCUAAAUGGAGCAGUUUUCCAUCACCCCUUAAGACAAACUGUAAGCCCGAGCUUAUCAAGCCUGAACUGGGAGAAACAAGAGCCAGAAGCUGGAGAUAAAACAUUCACUAAUAGUUUCAUAAAAUGUGUUACUAAUUCUGCGUUUAUAAUACACACUACACGUUUAGGGUUAUUACCUAAGCUCUCAUGGCCAAGACACUCACUGACCAUUAAAGACAAUGCAGGAGUUCCCAUCGUGGCGCAGUGGUUAACGAAUCCGACUAGGAACCAUGAGGUUGCAGGUUCGAUCCCUGGCCUUGCUCAGUGGGUUAAGGAUCCGGCGUUGCUAUGAGCUGUGGUGUAGGUUGCAGAUGCAGCUCGGAUCCUGCGUUGCUGUGGCUGUGGUGUAGGCCGGCGGCUACAGCUCUGGUUAGACCCCUAGCCUGGGAACCUCCAUAUGCCGUGGGAGCGGCUCAAGAAAAACGCAAAAAGACAAAAAAACAAAAAUAAAAAUAAAUAAAUAAAGACAAUGCAGCUUUUUUUCAGGAGAAUCUGAAUUAGCCCUCUUUUACCUAAAGUAACUAAACUUUUACCUGAAGUGUAGUCUGAGGAGAUUUCUCCAAGUAAACUUCCCCCCUUUGUGUAGGGAAGCUGUCUCAUCCUGCCAAGGGUCACGUGGGAUGAAGUAAGCACAGGAGGGGUGCCCUGUUGAACUGGUGAAAAAUGUGCAGAAAAUCUUGGUGCCUGUGGUUCUGCCUUAAGGUUUCAGAGAUUUUUGUUCUUUAGCUUAAGCUUUUAAUUAUGUGCCUUGCUGCAGUGUAGUAAGGGAAUAAAUGAUUAGAGGAGAAGCAGGAAAAAAAAAAAACUCACAGUCAUUACCUAUUCUUUAUUAUAUUUGGUUAAGGAUAUCAGAAAUAUAAGGUCAUUAAAAAUCAGUAAGUUGGAGUUCCCAUUGUGGCUCAGUGGGUGAAGAACCUGAUGUUGUCUCCGUGAAGAUGCAGGUUCAAUCCCUGGCCUUGCUCGGUGGGUCAAGGAUCCAUCGUUGCCGCAAGCUGCCAUAUAGGUCACGGAUGUAGCUUGGAUCCGGCGUUGCUAUGUUUGUGGCGUAGGCAGGCAGCUGCAGCUCCGAUUCGACCCCUAGCCUGGUAACCUCCAUAUGCCACAGGUGUGGCUGUAAAAGGGGGAAAAAGUCAGAACGCUGAUGGAACUGGGGAUGAUGGAGAGGGGGAGAGUCAUCCUCUUUCCCUAAGACCUCAGCAUUGAUGUUUGAAAGGACAUUUGAAGGUCCCAUUUGGCUGUUGGUAUAUUGCAGACCUCAUGCUUCUAAGUGGCAUAAGUGAGUAUGGAGAUAUAUUCAAUUAAAAUAUUUUAGAUGUCAUUAAGGUAUAUAAUCAUUAAUUUGUAACUCUAGAACUAAUGUUCUUCCCUGCUCUCAUUGGUGAUCUUGAUUUUACACAGCCAUCCCUUUGCCAUAUCACUCUACUGUUUCUUGUUUUACAUAUUUGUAUCUUACUAUUUCUACUUCCCUGUUUCAUUUAUUUCACAAUUCUUCUUGGCCCUCUCUGGAGACUUGGCUUAAACUUCCUCUCAUCUUGUCCAGACUGGCCAUCUUUUUCCAGUCAUCCAUUGAGCUCUUCUUUCUUUCCUCUUUCAUGGCAUUCCCCUGGCCAUUGCUGCUCUUAAUCAGGUCCAUUUUCACAGUCACAGAUCUCAUAGGUCUCUGCCCAAAGACCCUGUCACGUGUGACCUUGAUGUCCCUGCCUCCUCUUCCUCUCAGAGAAGAUCUGCAUCCUUAGCACCUGCAGACUAUUUGAGAAACCUGUUGAUCAUUCUCUCCUGCUAUCUCUCACACACAAUGUUUCUUUUCACAUUCUCCCUGCCCUCAGUAUAUAAGUUAUAAUUCAACCUUUCAGUGCAGACAUACUUGAUUUGGAACUAUUGUGUAUCUGAAGUAUAACUUGAGCAACACUCCUUUCCUAUGUUAAAACAUGCAGGAUUCCAUGCAUUGGGAAGGCUAUGCUUCACUAUUUUGCUGGGUACCAGUUAAUAGGCUGUCGUAAGACAAUUACCAGGUUUCAUGUCCUGUAACAUCUUGUGUGAAUCCCUGAACUCUCAGUUUGCAUAAUCAGUAUCACAGCCACUGAUGGUGAUGGUAUCCAACUCCCUAAAUGAGCUUCUAGCAAAUAUAUAGGGUCACCAGAGAACCGUGGAGUUCCAGCCUUGUACUUUCGGAACUGAAAAUUAUUUAAAAAAAAAAAAAGUAUCCAGUAACCGCCCCAAACAGAUAAAUCAUCCAGAUGCUCAUAAAAGUCAGAACCAUGUCCACUGGUAUUACCUUUUCAUGCACCUAAUGACAACCAUAGAGAAGUUCUCAAUCAGUAGUAUAUCUUUCAUCACUGGGAUAUGUUUUCUAUCCUAUAUGAUUUAUCACCAUCAUCAACUUUUCUAGCAACUUUUCUAUAAAAUAUGUAGCUGUUUUAUGGCUACCUCAAGAAUCCCAAGGAGGAGUUCCAGUUGUGGCUCAGUGGAUUAAGAAUCUGACAUAGUAUCCACAAGGAUGCAGGUUCGAUCCCUGACCUCAUUCAGUAAGUUAAGGAUCCACUAUUGCCAUGAGCUGUAGUAUAGGUCAUAGACACAGCUUGGAUCCCACAUUGCUGUGGCUGUGGCAUAAGCCUGCAUCUGCAGCUCCAAUUCGACCCCUAGCCUGGGAACUCCCAUAUGGUCACAGGUGUGUCCAUAAAAAGAAAAAAAAAAAAAAGAAUCCCAAAGCUAUUGUGAAAUCAGUGCAGCUAUUGGUAGUCUUCUUUAACCUAAGGGUGCAAGCCUCCGUCUUCCCUUGGUAUAUUUAAAAGAUAAAAGUUUAACAUGUUUCAAGACUGAUGAAACAGUGAUAACAGUUCUUCCUUCCAGAAGAAUGAAAAUAUACAUCUUUAGAUUACUAUAUGAAUGAUUUAAUUCAAACCUAAAGAAUUAUUACAGUUCAGUGUUAUCAGAUAUUGAAACAGGUACUAAUAGAAGAUACAUAAUCACUUUGUGUAUAUUUUAUUAAAAAUAGGAUAACACACAGAGAUCCAAGAUUUAGAGACUAAUUUGAGCUCUACAAACCUGGGAUUUUACCCUUAGCAGUAAUAGUUCCCCUGUUCUUUGAUUACAUGGUGUUUCUUUCAAGGUAUUUUUAACAUUAGAACACUGAAGCAAAGAUGUUCAGAUUCAACCUUGGAAUUUAAUACAUCAUCUCUUUCACCAGAGACAUUUCACUGAUCUUGUGUUAUUUAAAGGCCAAGUGGAACUGUUAUGGUGAAAAUCUGAAAAGAAUGUCAGAACUAACAUAGUAUGGAGAUCACAUUUUCACAGAAAUAAUGAUUCCAAGUCUUGUAAUUUAAUUUGCAUGGUUGAAUGAACUUGUCUUUCUCCUGCUCCAAAAAUAUAGCCAACCGUGUCCUAAACUGCAGCUCUUUGAAAAAGAGGCCGCGUCCCUAAGUUAGCUUUCCACAAUCAUGCCCCCUCCAAAGCUUUGUAGCCAGUAAAAAAAUUUUAAUUAAAAAUGAAGUCUAAGCCUAUAAGCUUGUCCUUUCUGAGAAAAUGAUGGAAAAAGGAGAGAAUUGCUCUGUAUUUCUUUUAACUGAAAAUGAAGACCCUUAACCUAAAAAGAGCAGUGAAAUUUAUAGUUCAGGCAGGAGCAUGUGGCUGUCAUAGAGAGAAAUAGAUUGUGUUACCUGGAACUCAAGGAAGUACACUUUUGGCACAUUCUCAGGGGAGCUGAAAAAAAUUCUUCCUAGGAUAACUUCCCAGGGUUGCAGUUAGGAGUAUUAGAAUUUAGCCCUCUGUGUUAGUGGGCAUAGUUCUAUAAUAAAUAAUAUCCACAUUUCAGUGGCUCAUCACUAAAGAGUGUGUUUACUACACACAAUAUGAGGAAAGCAUAAAAGUUCUGCUCCAGGCAGUCACUCAGGGACCCAAGCUACUUACAACGUGUGGCUUUGCUAUUUCUAGG